rnacentral:lncRNA from 1 species
GUUGAUCAAAAGGAGUAGAGGAAGAAGCGCAAUUUGGACAAAAGAUGCAACACGAAACUACUUUAACAUUGUUCGGUCAAGGUUUGGAAUAGUAGAGAAACAAAAAUAAGCAACAAAGAGAAGAGGGAAAAGAGAAAAGAAUUCGAUGGAGGAGAGAACUUAAAAGCUAUUCAGCCUAAACAAAAAAAGAUAAAAGUAAAGAGUAGUAAAAGAAAAACCCAAGAGGUACUCGAAAUCUUAGCAAAAAUUUGGCACCAAAAAGCAAAAAAAGAGAAACACUACAAAAAGCUAAAAUGAAAAGUAUACCAAAAUGAGCAGUAUCCCCUCGAGCUGAAUUUCCUGAGUAUCAAAGUCCACUUUCGGCACACUUCUCCUCUCC